UGCCAUACACUUUUACUUUGCUAGGAAAAUGCUGCAUAAAUAUCAUUCCUUACGGUGUGUGUUGCCAACAUUUUUGUUAGUGUCAAUCUUGAAUAUAGUAGGGAUUCCUCAUCCCUGAUGUUUCGUAAAAAAAGUGAUACGACUUUCUCAUUGACUUUUAAAACAGUUUAGUCUUAAUGUUCUUCGUGAUGUUAAAAGAACUUUUAGACCUGGUCCAUGUUAUGACUCCCCUGAGAGCUGGAUUUUCUGCACUCCUCAGUACAAACAGAAGGCAAGAUUUGACCGUGAUUAUGUUUAUUUGAGCAGUGGAGAUGGUCAGCCCAGAUAAAUCAGCCUCCGUUGUAGCUUUCUAACCAAGCUCAGAAGAUGUGUUUUACUAGAGCAGGACAUUGAAAGUUAAUCUGAGAGUAGAGCCCGGAACCCAGAAACAUUUGACUAAAACACAGUGAAGAUAGUGCCUAAACCACAUAGAUAUCUGCCUGCAUCUUUUCUGAGGUCCUGAUACUCAGAAAGGUCUGUGGUGGUGGAUACAGGGAGUGCAAUGUCCUCUUUGAGUCCCCUAAAGGAUUUAACAUCUCCAACCCUAAGGAUAGGCCAGUGUCUGCAGAAAGCAGGAUGUAGGAUCCCAUGAAACAGUCUCCGCAUCUAGAGAAAAACAGUUUUCUUCCACGUCAUUGAGUUCCUAUUAUUACCUCCUUUAUAAGACAGCUCUUCUCCCAGGGUAUGGCCAAGAAAGGCAUCGUGCCAAGGAGUCAGAAGGCUGGGGAUGGUACUCUGUAUAGGGUGUCAGCCAUAAUCUGGCUCCUAAAUAUGGGAAAGCCGCUUAACUCUUGGUGUGGUGCUGGCUUUUCUUUAUAAAAUGGGAUGAAGGGGAGACGGAGAGGUUCCUUUUCACUACAAAAGUCUCUUUCUCUUCCUCUCUCUCUUUCUUUUCUUUUUCUUUCAGCACUGCCAAGAGAAGGCUUUUUCUUUUGCUCAGGUUAAAUAAGAACAUCCUGCAAGGAGUCUGUUCUCUUAUACAGCCUGAAGAUCAAGUAAUAAUCAUUGACAUCGAUACUAAGCAUGUCGAUUUUGAAGAGACUGGCAUGUUUGCUGGCAGCUGUGUCUCAGAAAAAGCUGUCUUCAGCAAGGCAG
ensembl:lncRNA